rnacentral:rRNA from 1 species
UACGAAGGGGGCUAGCGUUGCUCGGAAUUACUGGGCGUAAAGCGCACGUAGGCGGCUUCUUAAGUCGGUGGUGAAAUCCUGGAGCUCAACUCCAGAACUGCCUUCGAUACUGGGAAGCUUGAGUCCGGGAGAGGUGAGUGGAACUGCGAGUGUAGAGGUGAAAUUCGUAGAUAUUCGGAAGAACACCAGUGGCGAAGGCGGCUCACUGGACUGGUAUUGACGCUGAGGUGCGAAAGCGUGGGGAGCAAACAGGG